GUCGUCAUAGAACAGUCUCAUUUUCUUACCGGUAUUCGAAAUGACUCGUUUCAUUGCUAUUACAACAAAUAUGUCAUAAUACCAUGACAGAGAGUUUUUUUUUUUGAAUAUUCUAGGUAAAUAUACAAAAAUAAAAUUUUAGACAAUGUACCCUCCUAAGCCUGGAAAUGGCUUGUCACAUAUAGUUAACGGAGUUUUUCUCACAAUGACGUUCUACCUCCAUAAGCCUGGAUAUGUCGUGGCUCGUCACAUAUGGGUACAGAUGCGCAUUAGUUUUUCCAUAGGCCGUAAUGGUAACGUUUUCUUCUGUUGCUCAGUCCAUAUCGUUAACUUGGAUAUGUGUGAUGGCUCGUUUCGAAGCUGAGACAUUUUGACAUAUGUGGUUAAAUUUUCGGGGUACGAAGUGAGAUUACUUUUUCCAUAAAUUAGUAAACCCCGAGUAUCCUUUUGUGAUGCGGCUCCUCAUGGUAAAUAAUCCCAUUUUUAACAAAAAGUUCUUUGAAAAUUUAAUACUUUGAACACAUUUAAUAGCUCCAUAGAUUUUACACAUUUAUUCUGUGUUCCCCUACUUUCUAAAUUAACUCAAAUGGUUAAGCUCAGUCACUUGUUUAUCAUAGAAAAGUGUCAAAUAUCACUACACAGAGAAUUUUUGUUUACAUGUGACUUUUGAGUUCCUCAUUUCAAGGCGCAUUAGUGAUCUUGUCCCAUAUAUGUAUUGGACUAUAUGAAUAGUAAACCAUUAAACAAUGUCAUAGUAAUAAUCACCUCAAAAUCAUCUGUUCUUACAGAUUUUAUUUUAUUGAUAUCGUAUCAUAAUUGUAAAGGGAGGGGGUUUCUCAUACAAACAGUAGAUUCAUUAUUAUUCGUGAGACAUAACUUUUUGGAGAUAAGGUAGUUAUUAGUAAAGGAUAAAUUUAAAUGUUCAACAAGGACCAAUUUUUCAUAAGCAUGUAUGCAGACCCUAGCAAAACAUUUAAAUCUAAUAUCAACAAAUAUAAAAAAUAAAAAUCUGUUAGCAACGGACAUACAAUUUGUCUUCAAUGCACUCAAAUUGGUACCCACUAAAACAAAAGGAUCCACAGUAUAUAACAAUAAACCUUUAAUAAUUCAUUGUCAUGGAUAUUCUCAUGAUGUCAAUUUUAACAGUGUAUCUCCACAAAGUUCGGCAGGAAAAAAAAGUCUCUUGACCAACCAGAUUUCUUUUCAUUACCAAUCCUGGAAACUUCUAAUGCUUUUGGAUCCUCAUCACAGGAUAAGACUUCACAAUACAGACAGUAUUAUCCCAAUAAAAACUGAUCAAUGUAGUAAAAUAAAGGAGAAUCACGUCCAGUGCUUGGGACAUAAAAAAGAAUCCAAAGGUCCACCAGAAAAUCUUUUAGGCGAAAUCCUGUGACUUUGUUCAGUCAUUGGUGAUGUAUAAGAGCACUAGUUAAAUAGAUCAUGGUCAUUAAGAAGUUUUAUUUUUUUAUUUUCUUUAAAAUUGUUAUAUUCAUAUACUUCUUUGUAUUAA
rnacentral:lncRNA from 1 species